GACGAACGCUGGCGGCGUGCCUAACACAUGCAAGUCGAACGAGGUCCAUCCUUCGGGAGAAGACCUAGUGGCGAACGGGUGAGUAACACGUGAAGAACCUGCCCCGAAGACCGGGAUAACCCUCCGAAAGGAGAGCUAAUACCGGAUACCCCCACCGAACCGCAUGGUUUGGUGAGGAAAUGGAUUCCGCUUCGGGAGGGCUUCGCGGCCUAUCAGCUAGUUGGUGGGGUAACGGCCACCAAGGCAUCGACGGGUAGCUGGUCUGAGAGGACGAUCAGCCACACUGGGACUGAGACACGGCCCAGACUCCUACGGGAGGCAGCAGUGGGGAAUCUUGCGCAAUGGGCGAAAGCCUGACGCAGCAACGCCGCGUGGGGGAUGAAAGGGCUCUCGGGUUGGUAAACCCCUUUACAGCAGGACGGAAUCAAGAACGGUACCUGCAGAAG
rnacentral:rRNA from 1 species